GACGAACGCUGGCGGCGCGCUUAACACAUGCAAGUCGAACGGAAAGGCCUGCUUUCCCUUGUGGAUUGCGGGUACUCGAGUGGCGAACGGGUGAGUAACACGUGAGUGAUCUGCCCCCAACUUGGGUAUAAGCCUGGGAAACUGGGUCUAAUUCCCGAUAGGACUGCAGGGUGGUGCCUGUGGUGGAAAACGAUUUUCUAGUGGUUGGGGAUGAGCUCGCGGCCUAUCAGCUUGUUGGUGGGGUAAUGGCCUACCAAGGCGGCGACGGGUAGCCGGCCUGGGAGGGUGGACGGGCACAGUGGGACUGAGAUACGGCCCAGACUCCUACGGGAGGCAGCAGUGGGGAAUAUUGCACGAUGGGCGGAAGCCUGAUGCAGCGAGGCCGCGUGGGGGAUGACGGCCUUCGGGUUGUAAACUCCUUUCGACCGCGAGGAAGCCACCUGGAUGGAAGGGUGGUGACGGUAGUGGUAGAAGAAGCACCGGCUAACUACGUG
rnacentral:rRNA from 1 species